AUGAUGGUACACACCUACAAUCUCACCACUCUUGGAGGCUUCAGCAAGAUAAGAGCAUGCUCAAGCCCAACCCCAGCAACACCAAGCCUUGGCUUUUCUUUCCUAACACUGGAGAGCUGUGAUUACUCUGCAGACUUCACAGAGCCUUGCCUCUGUCAAGGGCGGGUCACAAUCACACUGCCAUGUGCUAAGGACAGCUGUUCAUCCUGCAGGUCAGUGCAUAUGGCCUCUCACCUGAAUAAAGAAAUCAGUCAAGUUGAGAGACCAGGUACCUUCUGUUUUGAGAGACAGAGAGCUGGGCGUGGUGGCGCACGUCCAUAAUUCCAGCACUUGGUAGGCUGAGGCAGGAGGAUCACUUCAGGAACACUUCAAAUUCAAGGCCAGCCUGAACUACAUAGCUGAGACUCUGUUCCUAAAAAGCAGAAAAGAAUAAGAAAAAAAGAAAACAGGGGUUGGUGGUGAGAGAUGGUACACACCCCUAACACCACAUACUCUUAAUCAUGAACACAAUGGUUUGUUAAAUACUUACUUGAUUUGGGCUGGGGAUUUAGCUCAGUGGUUCUGCUGUCUGCCUCACAAGCGCUAGGACCGGAGUUCGAUCCCCUGUACCAAAAAACCCCGAACAAACAAAUACUUAAUUUUCAAAGGUUUAAUCAUUAUCUCAUUUUACCCUCGACACAACUGAAGGAUAAGGGUUAUUUCUUUCUUCUUAAGAUGCUAGCUCUACAGCAAACAAAUAUAUGAACAAAUGUUCAACAUCACUUGUCAUUCGAGAGAUGCAGAUGAAAACAACACUGAGAUUCCACCUCACCCCAGAAAGAAUGGCUGCUAUCAAGAAAUCAAC
rnacentral:lncRNA from 1 species